rfam:Oryza rufipogon genomic scaffold, chr02
NNCGUUUGACUGUCCGUCUUAUAUAUGAAACUUUUCUAUAAUUAGUAUUUUCAUUGUUGUUAGAUGAUAAAACAUGAUGAAUACUUUAUGCGUGACUUAUCCUUUUAUUUUUUUUCAUAAUUUUUUCAAAUAAGACGGACGGUCAAACAUUGAAUACGGAAACC